UGUUUUCUUUACAGAAUCCAUUUUGCAAAAUUGACUUUACAAUAUAAGAGAACUGAGCUUGAAGUAUUGCAUUCUAAAUGUUUCUACUAAACAUUUGAAAUAAGAAAACUGUACAGGGGAAAUAUACAAGGGUUAAAAGAAAAGACAUGCUCGCCUCCUUAUAUUCCAAAUGGUAUCUACACACCUCACAGGAUUAUACACAGAACUGAUGAUGAAAUCAGAUAUAAAUGUAAUUAUGGCUUCUAUCCUGUAACUGAAUCAACAGUUUCAAAGUGUACACUAACUGGCUGGAUCCCUGUUCCAAGAUGUACCUUGAAACCUUGUGAAUUUCCACAAUUCAAAUAUGGACAGCUGUAUUAUGAAGAGAGCCUGAGACCCAACUUCCCAGUGUCUAUAG